rfam:Ictidomys tridecemlineatus contig031682, whole genome shotgun sequence.
GUGGCUGUGGCUCAGCAGUAGAGCACUCAUCUCGCAUGUGUAAGGCCCUGGGUUCGAACCUCAGCACCACA